CAGGUAAAUUCCUCAAUACUUUAUGUGCAUAUGUCCUGGAGGGCUUACUGCUAUGGUUUGGCUGUGUCCCCACCCAAAUCUCAUCUUGAAUUGUAGCUCCCAUAAUCCCCACAUGGUAUGGGAGGGACCCAGUGGGAGGUAAUUGAAUCAUGGGGGUGCGUAUUUCCCAUGCUGUUCUUGUGAAAGUGAGUAAGUCUCAUAAGAUCUGAUGGUUUCGCCGGGCGCGGUGGCUCAAGCCUGUAAUCCCAGCACUUUGGGAGGCCAAGGCGGGUAGAUCACGAGGUAAAGAGAUCGAGACCAUCCUGGUCAACAUGGUGAAACCCCGUCUCUACUAAAAAUACAAAAAAUUAGCUGGGCAUGGUGGUGCGUGCCUGUAAUCCCAGCUACUCAGGAGGCUGAGGCAGGAGAAUUGCCUGAACCUAGGAGGCGGAGGUUGCGGUGAGCCGAGAUCGUGCCAUUGCACUCUGGCCUGGGUAACAAGAACAAAACUCCGUCUCAAAAAAAAAAAAAGAUCUACUGAAGUUUUACAUUUGGAUCCCACAUUUAAUUACAAGUGGUCUUAAAUGUGGUCCCCCUUCAGUUGUCAAAUAGCAUUAUGAUUUGGUAUUUUCUCUAUUUCACAGGUGAGGAACCUGAGGCAUAAUAGAGUCUCACCCAAGUCACACAGCUGCUGCGUGACAGCAGCCUGAUCCCAGGAUGCCUGACUGCAGCUUCAUUGCCCUUUUCCUGACAUGAAAGCCCACAUCUGUUCCCAACAGUGUGUGGCGCUUCCCCCGUUUUCAGAGCUGUUCCACAUCCUCCUCAUAGCCAUCUCAUGAAUCACAGCUCAGGUAUUAUUUUCUUUGCUUUGCAGUUGACAGCACCGAGGCCUGAGAGAUGAGGAUGCACUCUUGUUACUCAGAUUGUUCAGUGGAGGAGCCAGACUUCAGCCCAGACCUCCUGACAAAUACCUGGAAUUUACAGAAAUGAUGGCUGACACUGAGGGUGGAAAGGCCAUUGCAUCUCCAGACGGGGUUUCACUCUUAUUACUCAGUCUGGAGUGCAAUGGCGCGAUCUCGGCUCUCACCGCAACCUCCGUCAACCGGGUUCAGGCA
rnacentral:lncRNA from 1 species